rnacentral:misc_RNA from 1 species
AUGCAACUUCAUGCUACAUACCUGCAAAUCGAAUAGAGUUACAGUUCAAGAAUUUGAUUCAUAAGAUAAUGUGUGAUAUGUAAAAUGGAAGAAAAGAGUGGCAAGUUUAAUUUGAUGCUUAACAGGGUCCAACCACAGUUCAGCGGUGGUGAUCCUCCACCCCCCCUCCCCCACAACAAAAAGUGAAGCAGCAUUUCAUACAUCAAAUAUACUAUUGAGUUGAGUGCUUCAUUUCUUAAAUCUAAAAGCAUACAUUGUUUUCCCUGCCAAAGUAAUUUGAGACGACUUGCCGUUUGUUUCACCAGAUGACAUUCUAGUUUACCAUAAAAUUUUUAAUUUUUUAUGAAAACAAAUAAACAAAUUUAGUAAUGAGAGAAUGAAUCCAGGUUAGUCCAAUUAAUUAGGAUGAGAUCUCAUCUUCUUUAUCAAUUAAGAAUAGACCGCAAUAGAAAACUCUUCAUAUUUUUUUUUACACCAAGCGAGCGUCUUUAAGAUCUUUCAAGAAGCAGGUUUUAUCUCGGUACGUAUAAAUUCAUCGUAAAAUACCCUAAAUGUAAAAAAGAAAUAAAAAAAAUUAAUAAAAUGAAGAAAAUAAAUUCUGAUCAUUUAAAAAAAAAUGAUGAGUGA